UCCCUUUACCGAGUCUCUGCUCCUCACUCCCACGUUGGCUCACAAGCAGUUUUUUAUCCAACUGGUAACAGCCGCUGGAAGCAGGCCCACUCUGGCCUGGGAGCGCAGUGCAGUGCUCUGUGGAGUCUCCAACUUGUUGAGUGUGGAUUAGUCAGCCCAGACCAAGAGCUUUCUGCUGGAUGAAGAAAAUAGUACAGGCAGCACAGAUGGGUGGAACUGCCCCCCGUUGGACUGCACACAGUGGUCACAGUGUUCACAGUGUACAGGGAGCGCUGCCAACUUUUGAAGAAAGCUUGGAGUGAGAUUUGUUAUGUGAAUUUCAUUGCCCCCUGGCACAACCACUAGAUGGGGGUUUUAAAGUUCAUUUCCUGCAAUUCUACAUAUUUUGACAUAACUUAGGCUUAUGACCAGGUUUAAAAAACAUUGUGUAUUCAGGAUGCUUUGAACAUUAAAUGAACACUCAACAUUUUA